GAUGAACGCUAGCGAUAGGCCUAACACAUGCAAGUCGAGGGGCAUCACAUGAAGUAGCAAUACGGAUGGUGGCGACCGGCGCACGGGUGAGCAACGCGUAUGCAACCUACCUACAACAGGGGAAUAACUCGUUGAAAGACGGACUAAUACCCCAUAAUACAGGGAUCCCGCAUGGGAAUAUUUGUUAAAGAUUUAUCGGUUGUAGAUGGGCAUGCGUUCCAUUAGCUAGUUGGUGAGGUAACGGCUCACCAAGGCAACGAUGGAUAGGGGAACUGAGAGGUUUAUCCCCCACACUGGUACUGAGACACGGACCAGACUCCUACGGGAGGCAGCAGUGAGGAAUAUUGGUCAAUGGACGCAAGUCUGAACCAGCCACGUCGCGUGAAGGAAGACGGCCCUACGGGUUGUAAACUUCUUUUGUAAGGGAAUAAAGUGUAGUACGUGUACUAUUUUGCAUGUACCUUACGAAUAAGGAUCGGCUAACUCCGUGCCAGCCGCCGCGGUAA
rnacentral:rRNA from 1 species